UACGUAGGGUGCAAGCGUUAAUCGGAAUUACUGGGCGUAAAGCGUGCGCAGGCGGUCCGUUAAGACAGAUGUGAAAUCCCCGGGCUUAACCUGGGAACUGCAUUUGUGACUGGCGGACUCGAGUAUGGCAGAGGGGGGUAGAAUUCCACGUGUAGCAGUGAAAUGCGUAGAGAUGUGGAGGAAUACCGAUGGCGAAGGCAGCCCC
rnacentral:rRNA from 1 species